UGCGGGUGCACCCCAACGUGC
rnacentral:misc_RNA from 1 species